UACGAAGGGGGCGAGCGUUGUUCGGAAUUACUGGGCGUAAAGGGCGCGUAGGCGGCGAACCAAGUCAGAUGUGAAAGUCCUGGGCUUAACCUGGGGACUGCAUUUGAUACUGGUUUGCUUGAAUUCGGGAGAGGAUAGCGGAAUUCCCAGUGUAGAGGUGAAAUUCGUAGAUAUUGGGAAGAACACCGGUGGCGAAGGCGGCUAUCUGGACCGACAUUGACGCUGAGGCGCGAAAGCGUGGGGAGCGAACAGG
rnacentral:rRNA from 1 species